rnacentral:tRNA from 4 species
GGCCGCGUGGCGCAACUGAAUAGCGCAUCAGAUUUCGGCUCUGAGGGUUGGGGGUUUGAAUCCCUUCGCGGUCACAA